rnacentral:rRNA from 1 species
UACGAAGGGGGCUAGCGUUGCUCGGAAUCACUGGGCGUAAAGCGCACGUAGGCGGAUUGCUAAGUCAGGGGUGAAAUCCUGGAGCUCAACUCCAGAACUGCCCUUGAUACUGGCGGUCUCGAGUCCGGGAGAGGUGAGUGGAACUGCGAGUGUAGAGGUGAAAUUCGUAGAUAUUCGCAAGAACACCAGUGGCGAAGGCGGCUCACUGGCCCGGUACUGACGCUGAGGUGGCGAAAGCGAUGGGAG